rnacentral:rRNA from 1 species
UACGGAGGGUGCAAGCGUUAUCCGGAUUUACUGGGUUUAAAGGGUGCGCAGGCGGAUAUGUAAGUCAGUGGUGAAAUCUCCAGGCUUAACCUGGAAAUUGCCGUUGAUACUAUAUAUCUUGAAUGCUGUGGAGGUAAGCGGAAUAUGUCAUGUAGCGGUGAAAUGCUUAGAUAUGACAUAGAACACCUAUUGCGAAGGCAGCUUACUACACAGAUAUUGACGCUCAUGCACGAAAGCGUGGGGAUCAAACAGG